rnacentral:misc_RNA from 1 species
CCGAGUGCGGGUCCCUAUCCCCUUGCCGGGGGUAGGGGCCCAGACCUCCCACCCUUGUCGAUUGUACCGUGUUGCUUCGGCGGGCCCGUCAACUAUGGCCGCCGGGGGGCUUGCGAGCGCUGCCCCCGGGCCCGUGCCCGCCGGAGACCCCCCUCGAAAUGCUACUGUGGUCAGGAAUGCUGUCUGAGUGGUGAGAAAUUGAUCAAA